AUUGAACGCUGGCGGCAUGCCUUACACAUGCAAGUCGAACGGUAACGGGUCUUCGGAUGCUGACGAGUGGCGAACGGGUGAGUAAUGCAUCGGAACGUGCCCAGUAGUGGGGGAUAGCCCGGCGAAAGCCGGAUUAAUACCGCAUACGACCUGAGGGUGAAAGGGGGGGAUCGCAAGACCUCUCGCUAUUGGAGCGGCCGAUGUCAGAUUAGCUAGUUGGUGGGGUAAAGGCCUACCAAGGCAACGAUCUGUAGUUGGUCUGAGAGGACGACCAGCCACACUGGGACUGAGACACGGCCCAGACUCCUACGGGAGGCAGCAGUGGGGAAUUUUGGACAAUGGGCGCAAGCCUGAUCCAGCAAUGCCGCGUGCAGGAAGAAGGCCUUCGGGUUGUAAACUGCUUUUGUCAGGGAAGAAAUCUUCUGGGCUAAUACCCCGGGAGGAUGACGGUACCUGAAGAAUAAGCACCGGCUAACUACGUGCCAGCAGCCGCCGCCGUAA
rnacentral:rRNA from 1 species